UAUAAAUAUGCCGUUUUUGAAGACAGCACAUACCAUGAAAUCAUGAGAGAGGGAUCUUUGUUUGAACAAAUCUCUACUUUCCUGUAAAUUUGGUUCCCUUUCCCUGUUAUGUUGUUAUCUAUCUAUAGUCUUUUUCCUACCCUUAUCCCUCGCUCCCUGUAAUUACAAACUCUUCCACCAUUGGAUCUGCCCUUCCUUCCCCUUCCGGCAAAGGGUCAGUCUGUUCCUGGGAUUACAUUUAUUUUUUGUUUGCUUUCGGAAGGGUUGUGGUAAAAUAGAGCCUAGGAAGGGAAAGAAAAAGUUUUGGCGGUUAAUGAGUACUUUAUUAUUGUCUGGAUUUGUCUAAUGUGCAAUCAUAUAACUAUAAAAGGGGUCUUAAUUGGGGUUGAGUUGUAUUGCAAGUUGUCUUAUUGACGAUUUAUGGUUUCAAUUAGACCCUUUGUGCAUAACAUCCUUUGAGGAGGUCAUUUUGUAUGAUGGGUUGAGUUCAAGGAUUAGGUCUCUGAGGGCAAUUAGUGGAAGAUUUAUAGAAUAACAAGCAGGGAGAAGUUGGAUUAGGGUUUGAGAUGGAUCAUAGAAGUGCAAAGGAUAGGGAUACUGAAGUUGAUCUUGAAAGUGGAUUGCCACUAAUUGGAGAUAAUUCAAAGAGAGUCUCUACUCCUGGUGGUGCAAAACCAGGAAAGACAUUAUUUGCUAAGGUUUCUUCUGGGUUUGUAGGAGGUUCUGUUAAAGGUGAUGAAGGGACAAAUUUAUGCUGCAAUGAAUCAAAUUUAAGGGAAGUUUCUGCGGAUUUGAUGAAAGUAACAAACAAGCCAAUGGUGGGGAAGGAUUCGGCGAAUCGUACGCCGGCGGGGAAGGACAAACGGAAAAAGGCCUGUAAAAAGGCUCCCAAGCCUCCAAGACCUCCACAAGCUCCGACAUUGGAUGCAGCUGACCAUAAGCUAAUCAAGGAGUUAUCUGAACUUGCCAUGUUGAAACGCGCGAGGAUAGAGCGUAUGAAAGCCUUGAAGAAGAUGAAGAUUGCUAAGGCAUCAGCACCAUCUUCCAAUACCAGCAGCAUUCUGGCUUUGCUGUUCACUAUUGUCUUCUUUGUUGUCAUAAUAUUCCAAGGCAUGUCAUCUGGAAAAACCUCAGUGGUAAGUUUCCAGGGAUCUCCUGUAUCUGCAGGGGGAUCAGAGGGUGGUUUAAUUUCGAUUGAGUUCCAACCCAAUCCUUCUGCAAGUAACUCAAAUGCUCCUGGUUCAGAGUCUCAUAAUUUUGUACAGCAGGUAGCAGGUUCUGAUUUGCCUGAAAAACCUAUGAGAGAUUCAGGUUAAUGCACUUUUAUUAUGAGAAAUAAUAUCAAUGCCUGUAUUUAACGACGAGAUUCUCAUGCUACUCCUUCAAGCCCUUAGUCUUGACUUUCACGAUAUAUAUUUCUUUAUUUGUUGGUAAUUUAUCCCCUUAUGUAUAUUAAAUCAAAGUUGGGGGUGAGUUAAAUUACCGUAACAGUGCUGCUAGCUUCUUCAUUGUCUUGCUCAACACGUGUUGUUACUUUUCACCUCUUCAGCAACUUUUGGUUGCCUACGCUGGAUGAGAAUUUGAGUUGGAGAUUUUGCUUUUGAAGCCCACAAGCUAUGAUUCUAUUUAUCAUGUUCAGAAUAAAGGGGCUUCAUCAAUUACUUUUCUCGCCAGAAAGGAAAAUUCUCAUUCAGGAUAACCAUUGAGGCGUGUGGCACUCUGAAUUUCCAAUUAAGAAUAAGGUGUCAGAUGUGGCUCUCGAUAUUGUCAGAUAUGAUGCCAAUUUUGACUUUUAUUAGCAUGAACAUGUGACAUUGCUUCAUUUGGGAUCCUGAAAAGAAAUUAAGAUAAAUUGAACAUUGAAUCGGAGGCGUUUAACAUGCUUAUAGUAGGUACACAUUUGUGGCUGUUUUAAAUCAAUGGCUAGAAAUAAGGAUGAUUACUAAAUGUUUCCCCAGAGGUUUGACUCUUUCGGAUUUGAUGCUCUUAUAAUAAGAUAUGAUGUGAAAA